rnacentral:rRNA from 1 species
UACGGAGGAUCCAAGCGUUAUCCGGAUUUAUUGGGUUUAAAGGGUGCGUAGGCGGCCAAUUAAGUCAGGGGUGAAAGACGGUAGCUUAACUAUCGCAGUGCCUUUGAUACUGAUUGGCUUGAAUGAACUAGAGGUAGGCGGAAUGUGACAAGUAGCGGUGAAAUGCAUAGAUAUGUCACAGAACACCAAUUGCGAAGGCAGCUUACUAUGGUUUAAUUGACGCUGAGGCACGAAAGCGUGGGGAUCAAACAGG